rnacentral:rRNA from 1 species
UACAGAGGUCCCGAGCGUUGUUCGGAUUCACUGGGCGUAAAGGGUGCGUAGGUGGUUGGGUAAGUCUGAUGUGAAAUCUCCGGGCUCAACCCGGAAAUGGCAUUGGAUACUAUUCGGCUAGAGGUUUGGAGGGGGGACUGGAAUUCUCGGUGUAGCAGUGAAAAGCGUAGAUAUCGAGAGGAACACCAGUGGCGAAGGCGAGUCCCUGGACAACACCUGACACUGAGGCACGAAAGCUAGGGGAGCAAACAGG